rnacentral:rRNA from 1 species
AUUGAACGCUGGCGGCAGGCCUAACACAUGCAAGUCGAACGAGUGGCGGACGGGUGAGUAAGGUCUGGGAAACUGCCUGAUGGAGGGGGAUAACGAGUGGAAACGGUAGAUAAUACCGCAUACCAUCAGAUGUGCCCAGAUUGGAUUAGCUAGUUGGUGGGGUAACGGCUCACCAAGGCGACGAUCCCUAGCUGGUCUGAGAGGGUGACCAGCCACACUGGGACUGAGACACGGCCCAGACUCCUACGGGAGGCAGCAGUAGGGAAUAUUGGACAAUGGGCGCAAGUCUGACCGAGCAACGCCGCGUGAGUGAAGAAGGCCUUCGGGUUGUAAAGCUCUUUCGUCAGGGAAGCGGUACCUGAAGAGGAAGCCCCGGCUAACUCCGUGCCAGCAGCCGCGGUAAUUC